AUUGACCGCUGGCGGCGUGCCUAAUACAUGCAAGUCGAACGCAGUGGGGCCGGGUGAGUAACACGUGGGUAACCUCCCAUCAGAGGGGAUAACACUUGGAAACAGGUGCUAAACCGAUACUGAUGGAUGAACCCGCGGUGCAUUAGCUAGUUGGUGAGGUAACGGCUCACCAAGGCCACGAGGCAUAGCAGACCGUAGAGGGGGAUCGGCAACAAUGGGACUGAGACACGGCACAGACGCCUACGGGAGGCAGCAGUAGGGAAUCUUCGGCAAGGGACGAAAGUCUGACCGAGCAACGCCGCGUGAGUGAAGAAGGUUUUCGGAUCGUAAAACUCUGUUGUUAGAGAAGCGGUAUCUAACCAGAAAGCCACGGCUAACUACGUGCCAGCAGCCGCGGUAAUAC
rnacentral:rRNA from 1 species